AUUGAACGCUGGCGGCAUGCCUUACACAUGCAAGUCGAACGGCAGCACGGGAGCAAUCCUGGUGGCGAGUGGCGAACGGGUGAGUAAAGUAUCGGAACGUGCCCAGCCGUGGGGGAUAACGUAGCGAAAGUUACGCUAAUACCGCAUACGAUCUAUGGAUGAAAGCGGGGGAUCGCAAGACCUCGCGCGAUUGGAGCGGCCGAUAUCAGAUUAGGUAGUUGGUGGGGUAAAGGCUCACCAAGCCGACGAUCUGUAGCUGGUCUGAGAGGACGACCAGCCACACUGGGACUGAGACACGGCCCAGACUCCUACGGGAGGCAGCAGUGGGGGAAUUUUGGACAAUGGGCGCAAGCCUGAUCCAGCCAUGCCGCGUGCAGGAUGAAGGCCUUCGGGUUGUAAACUGCUUUUGUACGGAACGAAAAGGUUUGGCUUAAUACGUUGAACUCAUGACGGUACCGUAAGAAUAAGCACCGGCUAACUACGUGCCAGCAGCCGCCGUAA
rnacentral:rRNA from 1 species